AGUUCCGGGCCCGGGCUGCCUCCUUACGCAGAACCUCCCCCGAUCCUGCGUGUCCCGUGCUCCUCUCCGAGACCCCGGUCGCCCCAGCGUCCGCAGCAGUCCUGGAAAAAUGUUUAUUUGUGUAGCAAAGCAGGGAGCGGGGCGGCGGGGCUACUUCUUCUUUUUCUUGGCCGCCUUGAGCUUCCCCUCGAUUAGCCGCUGCGCCUGCCUCUUGAUCUCGGCGCGCGAAGGGACGUAGCUGUGGUCCAUGUCGGGGAACUGGAAGGUGUCUGCGGGCGGAGGCGGCGGCUCGCACACGGGGCUAGCCCAGCUAGGCGCAGCCGCCCGACCCGCCUCUCGCCCCCGCCCUCCACCGACCCGGGCCAGGUGCCUUGCCCCAGGGACAGCCCCAGCGUGCCGGGAGGACUCAGCCCAGCCCAUUCGCAGCGGCUCACGCUGCCCUGCCUAGCCUUUCCCGCAGAACCCCCAGUGGAAGCUCCGGCCCAGGCCUUCACCGCGCUCCUCCCUGCUCCAGCCCUGGUGCCUCUCCUCCGGGCCCGUCUGGCAUGGCAUGCCUCCUCCUUUCGGAGAAAUUAACAAGGUAUUUCAGUGGCUUUAGCCUCCCCAUGGCAUCACUAAGUCACCUCCAUCAAUUAAAGUCCUGCAGGUACAACUGAUGCACCCUGUAGCCCCGCUGUCCCUCCAGGAUGUCCCGGUGGGAUGGGAGCCGGCGCCACCCCGACCUGUGUUCCAGCCACCCGCCUGCAGCCCGGGCCCCAGUUCCGGGGCCUGUACCGAUCAUAUCCUCCUCCCGGUUCUCAAAGCUGAUCCUGGUGUUGUACUUCUCCAUCAGAGUCGAGGACUCCAGGGUGUCC
rnacentral:lncRNA from 1 species